UACGAAGGGGCUAGCGUUGUUCGGAAUUACUGGGCGUAAAGCGUCACGUAGGCGGACAUUUAAGUUGGAGGUGAAAGCCUUGGGCUCGAACCCAAGAAUUGCCUUUGAUACUGGAUGUCUCGAGACCGGGAGAGGUGAGUGGAAUUCCGAGUGUAGAGGUGAAAUUCGUAGAUAUUCGGAAGAACACCAGUGGCGAAGGCGGCUCACUGGCCCGGUUCUGACGCUGAGGUGCGAAAGCGUGGGAGCAACAGG
rnacentral:rRNA from 1 species